rnacentral:lncRNA from 10 species
ACAGUUUCUAAAGGCCGGGAGGUUCAAGAUCAAGGUACCAGCAGAACUGGUGUCUGGCAAGGGCCCUUUUCCUUGUUCAUAGACAGCUGUCUUCUCCCUGUGUCCUCAUAUGGCAAAAGGGGUGAGAAGUCUCUCUCAGGUUUCUUUUAUAAGGGCAUUUACCUUUGCCCCCAUGACCUAAUCACCUCCCCAAAGGCCCCACCUCCUACUGCCAUCACCUUGAGGGUUAGGAUUUUGACACACGAAUCUGCAGGGGAACAUAAACAGUCAGUCCGCUGCCUUGUUAUUUCCUUUCCUUCAGCUUUAUCUAAGCUUUCGUCUCUCUUCUACCACAGGUGGCUAGAGGUGCAGGUAGCUAAUUUAACAAGUCCACAGCGCUGGGUGCAGUACCUCCUGCUUCUUCAGGAGUCCAUCUGGCCUGGUGGAGUUUUGCCUAAGUUUCCACGGCCCGUAAGGACCCAAGAGCAGAAACUGGCUGCUGAGAAACAGGCUUUGCAGAGCCUGAUGGGAGUCCUCCCAGAUCUCGUAGUAGAAAUUCUUGGGGUGAACAAAUGCCGGCUGAGCUGGGGUCUAGUCCUGGAGUCACUACAACAACCCCUCAUCAACAGGCAUUUGAUUUACUGCCUUGGGGACAUCAUCCUGGAAUUCUUGGAUCUCAGUGCCUCUGUUGAGGAGUCUGCUGCUACCACCUCUGCCUCAGAUACCCCAGGCAACUCUAAGAGGAUGGGUGUCUCCUCUUAGCUGGUUAUUCACGCCUUCUUCCCAGGUCAGGGAAGUAGAGUUACUCGGCCACCAGAGACCAGUCAGGAAGCCCGUGCCCUCUUCAAGUAGGCUACAGCUAAGAAGGCCUAGGUUCUCGGUGGCUCACUUCUCUCCCACUUCUGCUCCAUUUGUAGCAGGUGACAGGGGUCUGUGUGUCCCAGUUGUAUGCACGUUUAUUUCCCUGUUCCUUUUGUGAUGUUGGGAUUGUUGCUGGUGAGUAGAUCCUGUUUCCUUUGGGAAAAGAAGCUGUGAGGUAGAGGAAUGAACCCCUUUUGCUUCUCCUUUUGCCAUCCUCCCUGAGAUUGUUUGCCAGAAUCCUGGCCCUGUGCACACAUGUGCUUAAUCCACCAGCACACAAGCUCUAGAUAGAACAGGAAAAAAACUGUGGCCAGAUUUCCUUGGAGGAGAAAACAACCUUCUCAGCUCUCUGUUCCUACCCGGAAACUAAAAAUUCAUUCAGGGCCAUUCUCAAAAACCAGACUCCUGGGUCUAAUCUAGUUUCCCAACAGUUCCAGAAGAAGAAGGAGGGAAGAAAAUUUUUCAAGGAACUUCUUGCUCAUG